CAAGUCGAGCGCACUUAUGAUCUUCGGAUUAUAGGCGAGCGGCGGACGGGUUAGUAACGCGUGGGAACGUACCCUUUACUACGGAGUAGCCUUUGGAAACGAAGAGUAAUACCGUAUACGCCCUUUGGGGGAAAGAUUUAUCGGUAAAGGAUCGGCCCGCGUUAGAUUAGAUAGUUGGUGGGGUAAUGGCCUACCAAGUCUACGAUCUAUAGCUGGUUUGAGAGGAUGAUCAGCAACACUGGGACUGAGACACGGCCCAGACUCCUACGGGAGGCAGCAGUGGGGAAUCUUAGACAAUGGGCGAAAGCCUGAUCUAGCGAUGCCGCGUGAGUGAAGAAGGCCUUAGGGUCGUAAAACUCUUUCGCCAGAGAUGAUAAUGACAGUAUCUGGUAAAGAAACCCCGGCUAACUCCGUGCCAGCAGCCGCGGUAAUACGGAGGGGGUUAGCGUUGUUCGGAAUUACUGGGCGUAAAGCGCACGUAGGCGGACUGAUCAGUUAGAGGUGAAAUCCCAGGGCUCAACCCUGGAACUGCCUUUAAUACUGUCAGUCUAGAGAUCGAGAGAGGUGAGUGGAAUUCCAAGUGUAGAGGUGAAAUUCGUAGAUAUUUGGAGGAACACCAGUGGCGAAGGCGGCUCACUGGCUC
rnacentral:rRNA from 1 species